rnacentral:rRNA from 1 species
GGGUCAGUAGGUUGGUCGUGCCACCGGUACGUACUGGUCUCACUGAUUCCUCCUUCCUGAAGAACCGUAAUGCCAUUAAUUUGGUGUUGCGGGGAAACAGGACUGUUACUUUGAAAAAUUAGAGUGUUUAAAGCAAGCUAACGCUUGAAUACAUUGGCAUGGAAUAAUGAAAUAGGACGAUCGAUCCUAUUUUGUUGGUUUCUAGGAUUGACGUA